rnacentral:rRNA from 1 species
UACGAAGGGGGCUAGCGUUGCUCGGAUUGACUGGGCGUAAAGGGCGCGUAGGCGGUUUGUACAGUUGGGCGUGAAAUUCCUGGGCUUAACCUGGGGGUUGCGUUCAAUACGUGCAGGCUUGAGUUCGGAAGAGGGUCGUGGAAUUCCCAGUGUAGAGGUGAAAUUCGUAGAUAUUGGGAAGAACACCGGUGGCGAAGGCGGCGACCUGGUCCGAUACUGACGCUGAGGCGCGAAAGCGUGGGGAGCAAACAGG